UACGUAGGGUGCAGGCGUUAAUCGGAAUUACUGGGCGUAAAGCGUGCGCAGGCGGUCUUUUAAGUCAGAUGUGAAAUCCCCGGGCUUAACCUGGGAACUGCGUUUGAAACUGGAAGGCUAGAGUGUGGCAGAGGGGGUGGAAUUCCACGUGUAGCAGUGAAAUGCGUAGAUAUGUGGAGGAACACCGAUGGCGAAGGCAGCCCCCUGGGCUAACACUGACGCUCAUGCACGAAAGCGUGGGGAGCAAACAGG
rnacentral:rRNA from 1 species